rnacentral:rRNA from 1 species
AUGAACGCUGGCGGCGUGCCUAAUACCUGCAAGUCGCGCGAACAGACGAGGAGCUUGCUCCUCUGACGUUAGCGGCGGACGGGUGAGUAACACGUGGAUAACCUACCUAUAAGACUGGGAUAACUUCGGGAAACCGGAGCUAAUACCGGAUAAUAUAUUUAACCGCAUGGUUCCAUAGUUAAAGACGGUUUUGCUUUCACUUAUAGAUUGAUCCGCGCCGCAUUAGCUAGUUGGUAAGGUAACGGCUUACCAAGGCGACGAUGCGUAGCCGACCUGAGAGGGUGAUCGGCCACACUGGAACUGAGACACGGUCCAGACUCCUACGGGAGGCAGCAGUAGGGAAUCUUCCGCAAUGGGCGAAAGCCUGACGGAGCAACGCCGCGUGAGUGAUGAAGGUCUUCGGAUCGUAAAACUCUGUUAUUAGGGAAGAACAAAUGUGUAAGUAACUAUGCACGUCUUGACGGUACCUAAUCAGAAAGCCACGGCUAACUACGUG